UACAGAGGUCUCAAGCGUUGUUCGGAUUCAUUGGGCGUAAAGGGCGCGUAGGCGGCGGGGUAAGUCGGGUGUGGAAUCUCAGAGCUCAACUCUGAAAUGGCACUUGAUACUGCUCUGCUAGAGGACUGGAGAGGAGAUUGGAAUUCACGGUGUAGCAGUGAAAUGCGUAGAUAUCAGGAGGAACACCGAUGGCGAAGGCAGAUCUCUGGGCCGUAACUGACGCUGAGACACGAAAGCGUGGGUAGCAAACAGG
rnacentral:rRNA from 1 species